CAGAUCUGAUCCAGUUCCGACUGGAACUAGGAGGUUUUCCUGAUCCAGAUCUGAUCCAGUUCCGGCUGGAACUAGGAGGUUUUCCUGGUCCAGAU